rnacentral:piRNA from 1 species
UGGUAUGUGGUUUCUAAACGCGUGAC